UGUAUACGAACAAAUUUCGUUUUCUUUACACACAAAUAAUAAUUGUGCAAUGAGAACACUAGAGAAGUACCAGCGUCAAUUUUCUUAUUCUUUUGCUUAAAUGUUUUUCUCUGACAAUGUUAUUAUACGCGAGCUCAAUCUGAUACCCAUUCUCGCAAAUGGAAGCAUACGUGUGGUUGUAUACAAUAAUGAUAAAGCACAAGAUCACGCCCUGAAAGUACUGCUAUCUUUUUGUUUUUACUGGACAACCAGCUGUUCGCAACGUGACGUCAUAAGCGAAAUUAAAGUAAGACAAAAGUUAACUCUGGCAAAAGGAAUUAGCUCGGUUAAAUUAACAUUUCUGAGUUCAAACAGAAAUGUGAAUUGUAGGGCUACAGAAAAGUAACGGUGGAUUUUUACACUUGCACUCAAAAAAGUGGACUCUGCACCUUCGCACUCCAAGCCAAUGAAAUUUUGCACGGGAUUUAUAGUCGUUCGAAAAUUAUGAGGCCGCUGAGCAAAACUCAGCAGCAUUAAUAACUGAAGAUAAUGGAGUUUUUAAAGUGUCUUACAAAGUUAACGAACAGAUCGAAAAGGAUUUCAACAACCGAAAAUGAGUUUUCCGAACCAGUUGAAAGCAACAACACUUUAAUAAAAAGGAAACAACUUCAGUAUGAAUGGCAUUUAAAUCAACAAUGGCUAGAUCUGCAGCCGUAUGUGUGCAAUCAUCUGCUUCAGAGAACACUGCAGGAACACGAUGUUUAGCACCUUUGAUAGUGUUUAUAGAUCGACGCGAGUUUUUAAUGAACAAUUUUUUGCAUUUUUGAUAAAGUUUUAAAACGUCAUAACCGUCCAAUACUAUCUGCUGAGUUGCAGCGUAAACAUCAUUCAUAAUUCCCGCGGAUGUUUCAACAGCAACAGCGCCACAAGCAUUAAUUUCAUCAUGUAAACUGUCCACAACGAUCUGAACCUCAGG